rnacentral:lncRNA from 1 species
CGGGGCGGCAAAACGUCCGCCCGGGCCCGAGGCGGGCGGAGGCAGCUGUGGUUACGUGCGGGGGGCCGGUGACGCAGUCGCGGGGCGCUGGGACGCGGCUUGCGGAGCCGGCCGGCGAGCGCAGGCCCCAGGCUCGGGCGCGGCGGCGGGACAGCACCUACCUUCCCGGCUUCGGGUCCGGGAGUGCGGGGCGCGGAGCCGCCGGAGCGCUGCCUCCCUCCUUCCUCCUCCCCUCGCCCCCGCCCCGCGGCGCGACACACAAUACUCGCCGGAAGCGGAAGCCGCGCCGAGGCUCGUGUCAGUGGAAGCUGGGGUGUCGGCGGGCGGCCGCGGCCGGGUCUAGCGGUGCCUGCGGAAGAAGGAGGAGGAGGGCUGGCGAUGAGAAGCAGCAGGGGGAAUCAAGGGCAAGAAGGGACCCAGAGGGGCAGGUGGCUGAGAUGCUGGCGUCCAGGUGACCCGAGGAAUCCUCUGGAGAUACAGGCCCGCGCAUGCGCGUGCUCGAGCGCUGAAGCCCAUUGCCCGCAGGGCGCUGGACUGGCGCCCCGGCCGGCGAGGCUGUCUAGUCCAGGCUCCAGGCCCCGGCUCUGGCCAGGCGCCGCCGCCUCCCGGUGCAGCUGAAAGUCGACGAAGAGGGCGGGGCGGGGGCGGCUUGUGGACUUCCACACUUUUCCUCUCUUCGGGCCAGUCUGGGGAGAGGGUGGCUAGCUGUGGCGGCGGCCAAUUACGUGGCGGACCUGCGGGGCUAAGCUGGCACGUCACUUCCGACUAGUGGAGUUUUUAGCCUUUUAACAUUCAAGGAUUAGGUAAAGAGCUCCCUCUUUGCCCACUAGCAGGGCAUUAGCUGGUGCUGAAGACAGUGGCUGCUUGGCGAGCCUGGAUCUCCAAGUGACCCCCUCAGCAACUCCUGAUGAACAGGACUGAAGCCAAUAUUAAAGCAAGUCAACCAAAGGUUCUCUGGUGUAGACAAGACAGCAAAAGGACAGACUACCUUGUGGAACCUAGCAUUGUUCUCCUUCUGCAGCACUAAGUAACAUUUGUUCUCCGUUAAGAUCUUUGCAAACCACACACAAGAAUUGCUGGUCAUCCUGCCAAUAGAUGCUGCUCACAGAACCAAAUUUCCUGUGCUGAAUUGUCACUCAUGGGCUUGAGAGUAGGAGACUGGAGACCAAGGUGGCUAGAAUCCAGUUGGGCCUGAUGUCUCCCUGUUGAAAGGGCUCCUUGUGGAAUGAAUAGCACAUGGCUCCUGUGGUGGAUCUGAUAGUGGCAUAGCACCAAGUGAUGCAGGCCUGCCAGGGGCCACAGACACAGAAGAUGCUCCCGGGGUCCCCCAUGUACUCCAGACACACUGCAGGCCACCUCUCCCAGCAGGUUGCCAGUCAUGGGCCCCAUCAUCAUGACUUCUGUCCAAGGUACUGUGUGCAGAAAUGUGAUUGAGAUUCAAGUCAGGGCCUCUCUGCCCUUUUCCCUCCAGAAACAAAACCAAGAUAAUUUAUCCUGAACACGGUGAAAAAAGGAAGGGAGGGAGGAGAAAAAGUCCGGGUCUCACCUGGGAUUCUCUGUCUCCUGCAACAUGAAGGAUUUAGCCUGGGAGGAGGUGGUGAGAACUCUGGGAGAGAAAAAAGAAGGAAAGAAUAGUUUUACCCAUGCUGAAGUUAAUUUAAACCUUCACCUAGAGAAGCAAAAAAAAAAAACCCACACUUUCCCAUUUUGUGCCUCCCUUCCUAGAGUUUUAGCCAAAGGUUUAGCUAAGUAAUUGGUUUUACCAGCGCACUCACUCCUCCUAUCCCAAGUCUGUUUGACUCCCUCCCCAUCAUCCUCCUCACCUCUUUUCAGGCAGGGUGGGGAUAGCAGCAGGAGGAGAUUUUGGGAGCCUGGCAACUCCUGCAAGGACCGCAGGACAGCCCCUCUGUGGGGAUGCGUGGUGCCCCAUCUGCCGCCCUUCUGAAGAAUGCACUGCCUUCACUUUUUACUGUGUUAGAGUCCAUCCAGACUGUUCUAUCCAAAAAAGUUUCUUUUUCCCCCACAGGCAAUCAGGAAAUGAUUCCUUUCCCGACUGCUUCUGUCUAGUGCCUGGGAAUCUUGAGUCAAUCCCUCAGUAAGUCAGUGACUAGGGAAAUCCCUCUCUGAGCCUCCCAGUUCAUGUUGCUUAGGGAACCUGAUAUUUUCGUGAAACCUGCCUACACAUGGGCAGCCCAACAGCAGAACAAAUGGUGGUGACCAAAGUGAACAAAGAAGUAUAGUUGUGCCAGCUUCGUAGUUGCCCAUGUGGACAAGUCAGCAGGAUCAGGACACGAGGAAGAGUAAAUGUGAGACAGUCAAUGUGACUUCUGCGAUAAACAGAUUUUUAAACCCCGAAAUUUUGCAAAAUUUUGGUGAAACCUGAACUUUCUUCGUUGCAUAUACUGGCACUAUCUGUACCAUCAUACAACUGUCUCACAUUAAAGCUAUUUUUCUUGGGCACUGAUGAGUAAGGUUGGUAUAAGUUCCUCAGAUCAACAAAAACCCAUUUUCCUGUAAGUCUUACAUUUAGUAUUUAAGGAACUAAAACUUAAAUACAUUUUGUGAAAUGGUUGACACUUCACUGAUAAUGAUUUAUUGCUUGGAUUAAUAAAUUUUCCAAAAGUUGUCUUAUGUAGAAUAUGGUUUGCAACCAGCAGAACCAUUAAUCUAUACUGCAAUGAUAUGCACUAUGUAUAAUUGUUUAAAAGCCUCUACUUAAUGAUGUAAAAUGCUCUAUUUAAUUACACAUUUGGGUAAACUGUAUACUAACAUCUGAUGGCAUUUUUCCACUGUUUGUUGCUUUUUUCAAAUACUUUAUUGUACAAAGCUGUUCUUAAUAUUUUUCAAGUUUUUUUCUUUGAAUUUUGCUAAUGUUUUCCUUGAAUUAUGAGCACUGACAGAAUGUGCUUAGCACUUUUGGCUAUUCACACAGCUUUUGAGCAUGAUUUGCAUCCAAUAUUUACAUUGCUAGCAAUAAUAAGCCAUCUGUGAGUUUUGUCAAAAGUUAUUGGGGAUUUUUUAAAUUUUAGAAAUGCAAAUUAUUGUUUCUUUGAACUAACUCUUAUGCAGUUGCAAAGGCAUUUCCAGUUGUUAUAGUUUGUGUACAAUAUCAGGUGUUCCAGAUUAUGAUUCAUUAUUAAUAUCAUUGCUUCCUUGUUCCCUCUGAGGUCCAGAAGAUUCAUGUUUACAAUAUUUAGAAACAAUGUUAAAAAGGUAUCCAAAGUUUGUCACUUUAUUAUUAGUUUGUUCUUAAUAUUCUGUUUAAGUUUUUGAAUUCAUAGAUAUCAAAACGCUGCACAAUUAUGAUUUCCACAGGAAUAACAACACACUAACAAUAAGAACCAAAAACAGCAAAUAGGCUGCCUACAAGUUUUGACAAUAUUAGGAUAAUGAUAAUGACAGUUUUUCUAAAUCUCACAGUAAAGAAUGCAGCAACCCAGCAACACUGCUACCUGUGGCCUCAGGCUGCAGUGUCAGCUCUUCCCUGGGUCUCCAGCCUGCCAGUCUAACCUGAAAAUUAUGUACUUGCCAGCCCCCACAGUCACGUGAGUGAACUGGCCCAGGCUGGUCACCAGGGUCAGUUUCUCUGUGUGUCAUUAAUUCAUUCAGUCUUCAGCAGUCUCUUUGGAGCUGAGAUGUACCUACCAUCUGCCUUUUGGGUGCUUAGGGUGGAGAACCAGAAAAGUAUAACCUAGUGUGUAUCCUCAAAGAGCUAACAAUAUGGGGUGGUACCUAUAGGUCUGGAAACACUUUACUGACUCUGUGAGGCAUACCAGGAGACGUCAGAGAACAGUCCCUCCUCAAAUGCCAAAUGAGAUGCAGAAGAAAUAGUUUGCUCAAGUUCAUGGGCCAGAUAUCCCAGUGGUCAGGGAGUUUCAUGAAUGAGAUGGAACUUUGCAUGGAACCCGAGGGAUGUGUAUGAUUUGAGUAGAUGAAGAAAAUGAGACUUUCCAAGCAGCUAGAAGUUAGGGAGCAGCAAGAUGUGUGGUGGGAUUGAGCACAGUUGGUUCAGAGGAUAGACUGCAGUUUUAAUAAUUUGUAGUAAAUAUCUCCCAACUGUUUGGCACUAUUGGAGCAAGUUCUUGAAUGCCAAAUGAAGGCAUAAAUCAGUAAGAGGCAUAAUAAAAGGCUGAGCAGUGCUUGGCUUUUUACGAACUGAUCCUGAUAGGAGCAGCUGUUCAACAAAGUUGCCAGGUCACCGUUACAUAGUCCCUGCCUUCUAGGGGCUCACUGCCUACUGGGAGAGACAGUCUGAAAGUUGGUGGAGCAUGUAACUGUUGGAUGAGGAGUUUGAGCCUGUGGACUGUGGGACCCCCGAGGAGGGUGUGGCUACUCUAGGCAGAACAAUCCCACAGUUUAUUUAUAUUUAACCUUGAAAUUCAUUAGAGGAUUUUUCAGCAGAGGUUUGGUACUUGUUAAUGUUAAGGUUUGCAUUCUCUAGAACCUCAAGGAAAGCUGUACCGUGCAUAAUGUACCCUCUUAUGUUAAUGUUGUGUACUGUGAUCCUGUUUCAGGGACUUGCACUUAGGAAUCUGUUACAGUGAGCACAGAAGCAGACCUGUGGGCUCAUAGUCUUCACCCCCCACCCAUAUAUACAAGAUGAACAGAGUGGAGGUUAAACAACUUGACUAAACAACACAGUUCAUGGUAAAGCCCAAGACUGUACCUGCCCAUCCACUGCCUUUUCCAUGUAUCCUGGAACUGAGCAUAGACCUCUUCCCAGGCAGAGCUGACAGCAAGUAAAGGAGAUCAUAAUCAGGGGACCAAACAACUUUGUCUAAAGUGUGAAUGUCACCUAAGGAGAAGCUGUGAGAUCAGAAGGGUGGGGCAGAGGAGCAGACACCAUGAGGGAGAGUCCUUGGGGGUACAUCUGCCAGACUGACACUGUCUGGCCUGGGCAGUGGAGGGGCUAGCAGGAACCACAGGUACUGGUGGUGUGGCUACUACCGUUACAACUGCCUGUGCUUGGACAUGGACCCUCUGCAAUAUGCGGCAGUUUCAUUCAUUGCCCCCUACAUUCUACACCAAGUAGAAAUGGAAGGCAAUUGGAUACUUCACAGACAAGAUCUAAGUGGAGAAGGAAUGCGUCCUGUGGCUGCAGAGAUCCUUGGAGCUUGGAGGGGAGAGCUUGAGCCCCACUGAUGAUGACCUCCCACAGCUCGCCAACUCAGCCCUCCCUAAGUCCCCAUCGGGGGCCAAUUCUCACUCUGGGGUUGGGGGGACUCCACCAUAGCUCAUCCAUCAUAGGGAUGUUGGUAUCUACUGUGGGUUGGGUAGGGCCGAUGUGCUGAGGAUGGCUCCCCCACAAGCAAGAGAUGUGGAUUUGGGGAGCUUCCCAUCUUGUGUUGAAGGAACAUAACUCAGAAUAAUAAGAGCCAACUAUAACAAACCCACAGCCAACAUCAUACUGAAUGGGCAAAAGCUGCAGGCAUUCCCCUUGAAAAGUGGCACAGGAUAAGGAAGCCCUUUCUCACCACUCCUAUUCAAUAUAGUGUUGAAAGUCCUGAUCACAGCAGUCAGGCAACAGAAAUAAUAAAGGGCAUCCAAAUAGGAAGAGAGGAAGUCAAACUAUCCUUGUUUGCAGACAGUAUGAUUCUAUAUCUAGAAAACCCCAUAGCCUCAGCCCAAAAGGUCCUUCAUCUGAUAAUUUCAGCAAAGUUUCAGGAGACAAAAUCAGUGUACAAAAAUCACUAACAUUCCUAUACACAGUCGCCAAGCCAAGAGCCAAAUCAGGAGCACAAUCCCAUUCAUAAUUGCCACAAAAAAGAAUAAAAUACCCAGGAAUGCAGCUAACCAAGGAAGUAAAGGAUCUCUACAAUGAGAAUCACAAACGCUGCUCAAAGAAAUCAGAGAUGACACAAACAAAUGGAAAAACUUUCCAUGCUCAUGGCUAGGAAGAAUCAAUAUCAUUAAAGUGGCCAUACUACCCAAAGCAAUUUAUAGAUUCAAUGCUAUUCCUAUCAAACUAUCAAUUACAUUUUUCACAGAACUAGAAAAAACUUAAAAUUCAUAUGGAACCAAAAAGCCUGAGUAGUCAAGGCAAUCCUAAACAAAAAGAACAAAGGUGGAGGCAUCACAUUACCUAACUUCAAACUACAGGGCUACCAUGACCAAAACAGCAUGGUACUGGUACAAAAGCAGACACACAGACCAGUGGGACAGAAUAGAGAGCCCAAAAAUAAGGCCACAAACCUACAGCCAUCUGAUCUUCAACAAAGUUGACAAAAACAAGCAAUGGGGAAAGGUCUCCCUAUUCAAUAAAUGGUGCUGGGAUAACUGGCUGGCCAUAUGCAGAAGAUCGUAACUGGACCCCUUUUACUAUGUACAAAAAUUAAGAUGGUUUAAAGAGUUAAAACCCAAAAUUAUAAAAAUCCUGAAGAUAACUUAGGCAAUACCAUUCUGGACAUAGGAACUGGCAAAUAUUUCAUGAUGAAGACACCAAAAGCAAUUGUAACAAAAGCAAAAAUGGACAAAUUGGAUUUAAGAGCUUUUUCAUAGCAAAAUAAACAACAGGGCAGACAAUCUACCAAAUGACAGAAAAUUUUUGCAAACUAUGCAUCUGACAAGGGGCUAAUAUCUAGCAUCUAUAAGGAAUUUAAACACAGUUACAGG